ACAGUAACAGAGGGAUUGAGGGCCUACUCAGUGAGUUUACAUGUUAGAGGGAGUGGGGUAUAGUGACACAGUAACAGAGGGAUUGAGGGCCCUGCUCAGUGAGUUUACAUGUUAGAGGGAGUGGGGUAUAGUGACAGUAACAGAGGGAUUGAGGGCCCUGCUCAGUGAGUUUACAUGUUAGAGGGAGUGGGAUAUAGUGACACAGUAACAGAGGGGUUGAGGUC